ACAAUAUUUUGUCAUUAUGUGUCAUCAGAGCUUCAAAAACCCUGCAGUCAGUAUCUAUGCAGCUUGCUCAAGCUAAAAUCACAUCAUAGUGACCUUACCACUUCACAUUUUGAUUUUUCAUUCUUCCUUAGGAAGCUCCUAAGAAGCCUGACCAGCCAUGCACAGCACGAGGGGAAAGACACGCAGCAGGAGCUGAACGAGGACUUGAAAGGAGCCGUGCUGGCCGCCUAUCAGGGUCCCCCCAUUUGCACACCAAAGGUAGGAGACAUCUGGGGCAGAGCCCGUGCAGUGCCUUCUCGCCGGCCUCGGCAGCGCCUGCGCCGGGGGAAUUCUGCCCCAGCAGAAACGGGGCUUCCAGCCCUUUCAUGCUGCUCCAGCCUGUUUACCUACCAUGGAGGGGUCAGAGCACAGGAAGAAAUCUUAACCCGACGUUUGAGGCGGAGAGCAUUGCGAAGCCAAGGACCUGGCCACAUGUGGGAUUCGCUCAUCAGCACGGCUCCUGCAGCCAGCGCUAAUGCAAGCCCCAAAAGUAGGGCAAAAACCCUCAGCUGAGCUGCUCCUGCUUGCAUCCUACCUGGAGACUGAAGUCGUGGUGAAGAAGUGCUCCAAGAUGUUGUAAUAUGCAACACAGAAACGCUAGGUAUUUUUUGGGGGGUUAUAUUUAGAAAGUUACUGAAUGGCAAGAUGUUAUACGCCUGCCGUGCACGUUACGUUUUCCACACAGGCAUAAAUAACGCAGUCAGAUAAGCACGGUCACUCGUGAACCUACACACAGUCACCACGUUACUCUUCACUUGUCUGGAUAUUUUGGGGGAGGCAUCCCCCGCCCAGCUGAGCGCCGAGCUGUCCCGCAGCGGGGCUGCGCUUGGCCACCCUCCAGCUCUGGACACACCAGAGAGCAGAGGCAAGUCGACGGAGGAGGAGAACACAAAGAUGAGGGUAGUGAGAGGAAGGAAACUAUCAGAUGUCACAGUCCCAACAAGCCCUUGCUUUCGGUAGGAUCAGCUAGAGGGUUCGUAAUACUCUUCUAACACCAUGCCUAACACAUGAUAGUAGCAAGGCUGCUACAACCCAGCAAAGGUAGUAAAAGAAGGGCUACAGAAUAGACCCCUCGCAAGCACAACAAGGUAUAAUUCACUCUAAAGCUCAGAGCAGGUACUGAACAGCACUUCUGUAAACUGCUGCUUUGCAUAGACCAAAAGCAUGAAUUGUGCCCAGAUAUGUAAGACUUCGGGGGGAAAAGAACUAUUUUAAACCACACCAUAUUAACAGGAGAUCUGGCCAAGUACUACAGCAUUUGAAUUUCUUUUAAAAAAGCGAAUCUUUUGAUAAAAUGUAUCUGCUGUAAAACCAGUUUUAAAAAUUCCCAGUACAUUUUUUAAUGGAAUCCCAUGUUAGGUGUAUCAGGUAACGUGCCUCACUGAAACAAAGCGUUUCUGUUUUCCAGCCAACUAAUAAUCAGGUUGCAUGUGGUGGCCCUUAAUGGAAAGAACAAUUGCUAUUAAAGGAACAUAGCAAUUAAAUUGCUGGGGCUAUAUUGCCACAUCCUCCA
rnacentral:lncRNA from 1 species